AUGCCGUUGUGGCUCGGCUGCUGAGACAUGGGAGCAUGUUCUCUGUGAGUGCACAAGGUAUGCAGAUUUUCGAGAUCUGAGGGGGAUGGGUAUAAGUGAGGUUAGUGGCGGGUUUGACGUAAGUCAAUCACUCUCCACUAGUGAUAGGGUUAGAAGAAUGAGUGAGUUUGCUAGAGCUGCAUUUUCCAGGCGACGUUUGCAAUUGCAGGAAGGAAUUGUAUGAAUGAUGAUGGAUGGUAGAUGUGAGAAUGUGGGGGUACGAAUGUGGGGGUGUUUCUGAAUGGUAAUUUUUGUUGAACAUUGUGUUGUGAUGGGGCUACCAACCCUUAACUGUUUUGGAGUUUAAAUUGGAAGUGCCCUUCUGGUACGAGGCCUGACCGGAGGCUUUUAAUCUGGUACCACGGGUAACCAGGAGCCCACGGAACUUGUUCCGUCCUGGUUAGUUGGUGCGGCCCUUCGGGGAGUAUCGUGGUGGUUGUGGUUUAACACCCAAAUGCGGGUAGAGCAUCGCUCGACGUGGAGUUGCGUCAUACAACCGGGUUCCGUGACCCAGAUUACGGAAGAGGCUUAGAUAGUCCUCGUGCCAAACCAAGGUAGAAGUCACAACCAAACAGUCGUGUCUUUAAUUGGUACCUGCGGAAUUGUUCCAAGGGGGCGGUGAUUGACGCUUGAAUUAAUCCUAUACUAGGAACCGUGAGAUUAAGCCAUCGCGGCAGGUGCUCACGUUAAGCCCACUGACUUUCAUGUCCCUAUCUACUAUCUAGCGAAACCACAGCCAAGGGAACGGGCUUGGAAUAAUUAGCGGGGAAAGAAGACCCUUUUGAGCUUGACUCUAAUCUGGCAGUGUAAGGAGACAUAAGAGGUGUAGAAUA
rnacentral:ncRNA from 1 species